rnacentral:rRNA from 1 species
AGAGUUUGAUCAUGGCUACAGAAUCAACGCUGGCGGCGUGCCUCAGACAUGCAAGUCGAACGAUUAAAGCUCUCUUCGGAGAGUGUAUAGAGUGGCGCACGGGUGAGUAACACGUAAGUAAUCUACCCUCGAGUGGGGAAUAACAACCGGAAACGGUUGCUAAUACCGCAUAAUGCAGCAGCACCGCAAGGUGACAGUUGUUAAAGAUUUAUCGCUUGAGGAGGAGCUUGCGGCAGAUUAGCUAGUUGGUAGGGUAACGGCUUACCAAGGCUACGAUCUGUAACCGGUCUAAGAGGACGGUCGGUCACACUGACACUGAAUAACGGGUCAGACUCCUACGGGAGGCAGCAGUCGGGAAUUUUGGGCAAUGGGCGAAAGCCUGACCCAGCAACGCCGCGUGAAGGAUGAAGUAUUUCGGUAUGUAAACUUCGAAAGAAUAGGAAGAAUUAAUGACGGUACUAUUUAUAAGGUCCGGCUAACUACGUG